CUGACGGCAUGGCAGGGACUCGUCGAGCAUGGCCGGCUGAUGCCUGGCCAGCGCGUGCUGAUUCACGCGGCGUCGGGC
rnacentral:tRNA from 1 species